UACGUAGGGGGCUAGCGUUGUCCGGAUUCAUUGGGCGUAAAGGGUGCGUAGGUGGCGUCGUAAGUCGGGUGUGAAAUUUCGGAGCUUAACUCCGAAACUGCAUUCGAUACUGCGGUGCUUGAGGACUGGAGAGGAGACUGGAAUUUACGGUGUAGCAGUGAAAUGCGUAGAUAUCGUAAGGAAGACCAGUGGCGAAGGCGGGUCUCUGGACAGUUCCUGACGCUGAGGCACGAAGGCCAGGGGAGCAAACGGG
rnacentral:rRNA from 1 species